AAGACUAUGCUUUCAGUAGCAGUUCGGUCCUAGAGAAGUUUCUCUGAACGUGUCGAGCACCUGAAACCACGGGUGCAGCGCCCUCUCCUGAGCCUGCCGCUGGCUCUGGGUGUUGCUUCUGGAGCUGUUGCCAUUGAUUUUCCUUUUUCUCUCCCUGAUGACUGUUUUUCUCUUCCUUUGGGAGAGUGAGAGGGAAGAGUUGCCAUCUGAGUGGG
ensembl:snoRNA U3 Small nucleolar RNA U3